rnacentral:tRNA from 1 species
GGACAUGUAGCUCAGUGGUAGUGUGCUUGCCUAGCAUGCAAGGGACCCUGAGUUCAACCUCGAGUGUCUCCA